UCGGAGAGUUUGAUCCUGGCUCAGGAUGAACGCUGGCGGCGUGCCUUACACAUGCAAGUCGAGCGAGAAUUUUUUGAUGGGGCAACCCAUUGGGAAGUUCUAGCGGCAAACGGGUGAGUAAUGGAUGGGUAACCUACCCUAAAGACGGGGAUAGCCUUCUGAAAAGAAGGGUAAUACCCGAUAAUGUUGACAGACUUAGGUUUGUCAAAGAAAGAUGGCCUCUGUUUCAUGCUAUCACUUUUGGACGGGCUCAUCUCCUAUCAGCUAGUUGGUGAGGUAAUGGCUUACCAAGGCAACGACGGGUAGCUGGUCUGAGAGGAUGGACAGCCACAUUGGGACUGAGACACGGCCCAGACUCCUACGGGAGGCAGCAGUGGGGAAUAUUGGUCAAUGGGCGAAAGCCUGAACCAGCGACGUCGCGUGGAGGAUGGAGGCCGCAAGGUUGUAAACUCCUUUUAUUAAGGAAAAAGGGAUAGAUCUCAAAUAGGGAACUAUUCUUGAUGGUACUUUUUGAAUAAGCCCCAGCUAACUACGUGCCAGCAGCUGCGGUAAUACGUAGGGGGCGAGCGUUAUCCGGAAUUACUGGGUGUAAAGGGUAUGCAGGCGGAUUGACAAGUUGGAUGUAAAAACUCAGAGCUUAACUCUGAGCUCGCAUUCAAAACUGUUGAUCUAGAGAGCAGUAGAGGGAAGUGGAAUUCCAGGUGUAGCGGUAAAAUGCUUAGAUAUCUGGAAGAACACCAGUGGCGAAAGCGGCUUCCUGGGCUGUCUCUGACGCUCAUAUACGAAAGCUAGGGGAGCAAACAGGAUUAGAUACCCUGGUAGUCCUAGCCGUAAACGAUGGAUGCUUGGUGUUGGGGAGGUUGCUUCUCAGUGCCGGAGCUAACGUGUUAAGCAUCCCACCUGGGAAGUACGGCCGCAAGGUUAAAACUCAAAGGAAUUGACGGGGCCCCGCACAAGCAGCGAGGCAUGUGGUUUAAUUCGAUGCUACACGAAGAACCUUACCUGGGCUUGACAUGCACGAGAAAGCUGGAAGAAACUCCGGCCCUCUCAGAGAGUAAUCUCUGUUACCCGUGCACAGGUGCUGCAUGGUUGUCGUCAGCUCGUGUCGUGAGAUGUACGGUUAAGUCCGUGAACGAGCGCAACCCCUAUCCCUAGUUGCUAAUAGGCUUCGGCCUAUGCACUUUAGGGAGACUGCCAGCGGAAAGCUGGAGGAAGGUGGGGAUGACGUCAAAUCCUCAUGGCCUUUAUGUCCAGGGCUACACACAUGCGACAAUGGUCCAUACAAAGUGUUGCUAACCAGUAAUGGGGAGCUAAUCGCAAAAAGUGGACCUCAGUACGGAUUGAGGGUUGCAAUUCACCCUCAUGAAGCUGGAGUUGCUAGUAACCGCAGGUCAGCUAUACUGCGGUGAAUGCGUUCCCGGGGCUUGUACACACCGCCCGUCACACCACCCGAGUUGUGUGUACCCGAAGUGGCUCUGUGAGUCACGAAGGUGUGCAUGAUAAGGAGGGUGAAGUCGUAACAAGGUAGGUGUACGAGAACGUGCGCCUGGAUCACCUCCUUUCUAG
rnacentral:rRNA from 1 species